rnacentral:lncRNA from 1 species
CCUAUUCAAACUGGCCCUGAGUUGUCUCAGUGCAGUUGCUGGGACAAUUCCUCCUGACCACCUUGACCUGAGCUGCACAGGAGGACGAGAGAGACACUCGGCGAUGGAUUCAGAGAGACGGUUUUGUCCUCGACCUCUGGACACCUCAAAGCCAUGGCAGAGUGGUUGGCUGAGAAUUAUCAUCACAUCUGGGCAGCCAG